AGAAAAGUAUAAGUUCUGAGGUACUCUAAUUAAAAAAAACAGAUUUGUUUUUGUUGUAUUUCAACCAUUAACAUCUUGCCAGUAUGCACUCUAUUAAUAAAAUGCAUGAUCAUGCUUGUGUUUGGUUCUUUAUCCAUGCUGUUGAUGAUGGAAAAGCAAAUUCUAACAAUAAAAAAGCCACGUAUACAUGAAAACUGCACCAGAACACAUUGAUAUGUUUAUAUUUAAAAGCAUUUUGUAAUCACCUUCUUUAAAAUAUGUGUGUGUGUUAAAAGUAAAUGUUUUUUGUUUUAGUUGAUAUGGGCACCUUCUAAAUUUAUUGGCUGUGGUGAUGCUUACUGCCCCAAUUCCCCAAAUAAAUAUAUUUAUGUCUGCCAUUACUGUCCUAUAGACGAUAUAAAUACCGACCUGUAUACGCCAGGUGCUCCAUGCAGUUCUUGCCCAAAUGCAUGUAAAAACAAUCUCUGAACUCACGUUUGAGUCUGCCAAAUGAAACAUGCUUCCUAACAUCCAAUUAGAAACAUAAAGCAAC